GCAUAUGAGGACUCUGCUGAGGGCAGGCAUCGGGACUAUUAGCUUCAUGCUCUAAGGCUCUCCUGGCCAGGAUGGUUGGAACAGAAUUCCAGAAAGUCAUACUGGUAUAAAUAGAACUUGGAUCCUUAAAGGCUGUCUUGUAAACUCCCCAGUUCAGCUCCUCUUAGACUCAGCAGAACACCAUGAACUCCCUGCCCACCCCCUGACAGAGCCCAGCUUCUAGCUUUGUGCUUCACAUAUGGUCCGUUUCUAAUCAGGCUCUGCCCUUGUGAUAGCAAGGAGUGACCAGCAGCUCGAGGCCUUCUCUGUCUCAAGUUUAAAUCCAGGAGCGAAGAGGAAGGAGCUCCCUCUCAGCAUCCCAGACAAGAGAAGAAACUAGACUUGGAGUGGCCCACUAACUUGCUGAAGUUCAAAGAGAGACCGAGGUUUGUACAUAGGCAGCCUGACUCCAGCCCGAGCUCCUCACCAUUUCACAGUCCUUCCUCCCCGUGUGGAAGGAGAAAAGCCUGAAACCCAGCCGUGUGUGCGGGCAAUGGAGCUGUUAAGUCAAGAGCAAAGGCAAAGCAGAUGGUGCUGGGAGGAGCUUUUGAAGCUGUUUGUCCUGGGAUUACAUCGCUGGUUGAGAUUACAAAGUCUUUGAGGAUAUUUUCACUGCAGCCCUGUGUUCCUGUGCUAUACACCUUUUGGAAAUUUACAAAUAACAGUGAUAUUUUCUUCAUUCAGCACAACAUAUAUUGAAUACAACCAAGCCCUUGGAGAAAUAUAAAAAUGAA